rnacentral:rRNA from 1 species
UACGUAGGGGGCAAGCGUUGUCCGGAUUUAUUGGGCGUAAAGAGCGUGUAGGCGGUUUGGUAGGUCCGCUGUGAAAACUCGAGGCUCAACCUCGAGACGCCGGUGGAAACCAUCAGACUAGAGUCCGGAAGAGGAGAGUGGAAUUCCUGGUGUAGCGGUGAAAUGCGCAGAUAUCAGGAAGAACACCAGUGGCUAAGGCGGCUCGCUAGGACGGUACUGACGCUGAGACGCGAAAGCGUGGGGAGCAAACAGG